AAAGGUCAUUCGAAACUGCCGAACUAGAGUACUGGAGAGGAGAGCGGAAUUCUUGGAGUAGCGGUGAAAUGCGUAGAUAUCAAGAAGAACACCGGUGGCGAAGGCGGCUCUCUGGACAGUUACUGACGCUGAGGUACGAAAGCCGGGGGAGCGAAGAGGAUUAGAUACCCUCGUAGUCCCGGCAGUAAACGAUGUGCACUUGGUGUGGGAAGGAGUUAUCCCCUUUCCGUACCGGAGUUAACGCGUUAAGUGCACCGCCUGGGGAGUACGGCCGCAAGGCUUAAACUCAAAGGAAUUGACGGGGGCCCGCACAAGCGGUGGAGCAUGUGGCUUAAUUCGAUGCAACGCGAAGAACCUUACCUGGGUUUGACAUGCCCGUCGUAUUCCCCUUAAAGG
rnacentral:rRNA from 1 species